rnacentral:misc_RNA from 1 species
UGUGUGUGUGUGUGUCGGCGUGUGCAUCUUCUUCUGCUUACUGUGUUGAGCACGCUCUGCUCAUCCAACCCCUCUCUUCUUCAUGGCAGGUCACACCACCACGCACAACAGAUGAAAGGCUGUAAAAAAAAGAUUGAGAAGUCCCAAAACAUGAAAAAACGUUCGCUAAAAAAAGAUGACGAGUGUUAACACCUCUGCUCGAUAAUUCUUAUUGGGGAGGGAAGGGAAGAGCCGGUCGCGUUCCGCGCACGGAAGCAUAUGCAUGCAAGAAGGGUAAACCAAGCACCUUCGCUCAACGCGCAUGUAUACACAGGCAUACAUACACGAGUGGAAGGGCGAUGAGGAUAGGACGACGAGGUGGGGGAAAGCACAAAAUUUGGAUGCACCCACCCCCUCCUACGUUAUUCAUCGAGUCUUCCCUUAUCUCUCACGCCGCAUUUGCGGCCCGAAGGAACGCGACUGUGAGAGAAGGCAAAGGAAGGAUGCAAGCGUUCUUCACACGAAACGUUGCGUGAAGUGUUCAAGGCAGACAGUGGUGGUGGCCGUAAAUGGUGCAAAACACGGCAACGGAAGCAAUAAUGAAGAAGUCUAACAGGAAACGUAUGAUCCCGUAGAGAGGUGGUCGCCUUUCAGACAACAGUAAGCGUGUCUUAUGCUCGUUUGCCCUCCUUUUAAAAAUUCUGCUUCACGAUAGUCGCGGACUUUCUCGCUUGUUUCACAGAAGACACACAUACACAGACACACGCACACAGACAUACACAUAGGCUCCCCCUUCUGUGCGGCUCUAGCUGUUUCUCUUUUGGUAGGUAGUGAUGCUACCCUCCCCCCUUUCCACUUCGCCUUCUUUAGGUUGACGUUGCCAUGCUACAGUUUUAUAUACGAAGGAGUUUAUGCGUGUCUCUGUGAAUGCAACUGUGCACCGGUGCAUCACCGGGUGAAGCAAGAAACGAAAAAAAAAGGUGAGAGACGGCACGCCACGGCUGCCGAACUUUAGGACUCUCUUGUUCCGAUGCGUGCCACUUCUUUUUGUGCUUCCUUAUUCCAUUUUUUAUUGCCUUCCUCUCUCUCUGUCUUUGCCUCUCUGGCCAGCGAACUUUUCCACGUGCG